rnacentral:tRNA from 1 species
GGGCCGGUAGUUCAGUUGGGAGAACACUUCGUUCGCAACGAAGGGGUCGGCAGUUCGAAUCUGCUCCGGUCCA